CACGGAGUUAGCCGAUCCUUAUUCUUACGGUACCGUCAAAUAUCUACACGUAGAUACAUUUCUUCCCGUACAAAAGCAGUUUACAAUCCAUAGGACCGUCAUCCUGCACGCGGCAUGGCUGGUUCAGAGUUGCCUCCAUUGACCAAUAUUCCUCACUGCUGCCUCCCGUAGGAGUCUGGUCCGUGCCUCAGUACCAGUGUGGGGGAUCUCCCUCUCAGGACCCCUAAUCAUCGUCGCCUUGGUAUGCCGUUACCACACCAACUAGCUAAUGAUACGCAUGCCCAUCUUUUACCGAUAAAUCUUUAUAAUCAAACGAUGCCAUUCAAUUAAACCAUGGAGCAUUAAUCCGAAUUUCUCCGGGCUAUUCCCCUGUAAAGGUAGGUUGCAUACGCGUUACUCACCCAUCCGCCGGUCUCUAGAAAGCAAGCUCUCUAUACCCCUCGACUUGCAUGUGUUAGGCCUGCCGCUAGCGUUCAUCCUGAGCCAGGAUCAAACU
rnacentral:rRNA from 1 species